rnacentral:rRNA from 1 species
GGAUCCAGACUUUGAUCAUGGCUCAGGAUGAACGCUAGCUACAGGCUUAACACAUGCAAGUCGAGGGGAAACGACAUCGAAAGCUUGCUUUUGAUGGGCGUCGACCGGCGCACGGGUGAGUAACGCGUAUCCAACCUGCCCACCACUUGGGGAUAACCUUGCGAAAGUAAGACUAAUACCCAAUGACGUCUCUAGAAGACAUCUGAAGGAGAUUAAAGAUUUAUCGGUGAUGGAUGGGGAUGCGUCUGAUUAGCUUGUUGGCGGGGUAACGGCCCACCAAGGCGACGAUCAGUAGGGGUUCUGAGAGGAAGGUCCCCCACAUUGGAACUGAGACACGGUCCAAACUCCUACGGGAGGCAGCAGUGAGGAAUAUUGGUCAAUGGGCGAGAGCCUGAACCAGCCAAGUAGCGUGCAAGAUGACGGCCCUAUGGGUUGUAAACUGCUUUUAUAAGGGAAUAAAGUGAGUCUCGUGAGACUUUUUGCAUGUACCUUAUGAAUAAGGACCGGCUAAUUCCGUGCCAGCAGCCGCGGUAAUACAGAAGGUCCGGGCGUUAUCCAGAUUUAUUGGGUUUAAAGGGAGCGUAUG